GAAAAGGAAAAUUAAGUUCGAGAUUCAUUGGACCAUACGAGAUUAUAGAAAGAGUUGAGUCCGUUGCUUAUUGGAUAGAUUUGCCAAUAGAAUUAGAUCAAAUCCAUAAUGUAUUUCAUGUAUCUGUAACACCCCUUACCGGUAUCUGACGCCGGGACAGGGUACGAGGCAUUACCGAACUUAAACAUAACCAAUCAUACAAAAC
rnacentral:lncRNA from 1 species